rnacentral:rRNA from 1 species
CAAAAACAUGUCCUUUUGUUUUUUAUUUAAGGUCUGACCUGCCCAAUGAGGAAUUGAAUGGCCGCAGUAUUUUAACUGUGCUAAGGUAGCAUAAUCAUUUGUCUUUUAAUUGAGGGCUGGAAUGAAAGGUUGGACGAAAUAUUAGCUUUCUUUGUCUUAAUUUGAAGAACUUAAUUUUUGAGUUAAAAAGCUUAAAUAUUUUUGUUGGACGAGAAGACCCUAUAGAUCUUUAUAAUUUUAUGUUUUAGUAAUUUAGAUUAUUAUUUACUUAAAGCAAAGUAAUUAUUUUGUUGGGGUGACUGUAGAAUUAAAAUAACUUCUACUUAUUUGUUUCAUUUAUUAAUGUUUUUAUGAUCCAUAUUUUAUGAUUAUAAGAUUAAGUUACCUUAGGGAUAACAGCGUAAUUUUCUCGGAGAGUUCAUAUUGAUGAGAGAGUUUGCGACCUCGAUGUUGGAUUAAAAUAAGCUAUGGAUGCAGAAGUCUAUAUACUAGGUCUGUUCGACCUUUAAAUUUUUACAUGAUCUGAGUUCA